GACGAACGCUGGCGGCGUGCUUAACACAUGCAAGUCGAACGGAAAGUCCCUGCUUUUGUGGGGUGCUCGAGUGGCGAACGGGUUUGUAACACGUGAGUAACCUGCCCUUGACUUUGGGAUAACUUCAGUAAACUGGGGCUAAUACCGGAUCGGAGCUCCUGCUGCAUGGUGUUGGUUGGAACGUUUCGGCGGUUGGGUAUGUGAUGGCGGCUUAUCAGCUUGUUGGUGGGGUAGUGGCUUACCAAGGCUUUGACGGGUAGCCGGCCUGAGAGGGGGACCGGCCACAUUGGGACUGAGAUACGGCCCAGACUCCAACGGGAGGCAGCGGUGGGGAAGAUUGCACAAGGGGCGGAAGCCUGAUGCAGCAACGCCGCGUGCGGGAUGAAGGACGUCGGGUUGGAAACAGAGUUCGCCUGUGACGAAGCGGGAGUGACGGUAAUGGGUAAAGAAGCACCGGCUAACUACGUG
rnacentral:rRNA from 1 species